rnacentral:rRNA from 1 species
UACGAAGGGGGCUAGCGUUGUUCGGAAUUACUGGGCGUAAAGCGCACGUAGGCGGGUUUGUAAGUAGGGGGUGAAAUCCCAGGGCUCAACCCUGGAACUGCCUUCUAGACUGCAAGCCUGGAGGUCAGGAGAGGCGAGUGGAAUACCGAGUGUAGAGGUGAAAUUCGUAGAUAUUCGGUGGAACAACAGUGGCGAAGGCGACUCGCUGGACUGAUACUGACGCUGAGGUGCGAAAGCGUGGGGAGCAAACAGG